rnacentral:lncRNA from 1 species
GUCCAGACCAACAAAUGUAAGAGAGAGCUAGAUGACUCAUGAAACCUGAUCACUCAAACACGCCUCUGCACAUACCAUUGAAAUCAAAGCUGAAGUCUCCAGGAAAAUCCCCACCAAAGUUGGCUUCACACAAAGAUAAUUAUCGUCAACUACUUGACUCUCAAAUAGUUUUAGCAGAGUAAGAAAGAGGGUCUUACUCUGUCAUCGAGGCUGGAGUGCUGUCAUCAACCUCCCGGGCUUAAGUGAUCCUGCCACCUCAGCCUCCCAAGUAGCUGGGAUUACAAGUGUGUGGAACCAUGCCCAGCUAAUUUUUUAUUUUUCAGUAGAGACAGGGUCUUACUAUGUUGCCUAGUAUGGUGUCUAACUUCUGGAUGCAAGUGAUCCCGCCACCUUGGUCCCCCAAGAUGCUGGGAUUACAGGUCUGAGCCCCAAGCCCAGACCACAAUAAUAAACUGUACUGAAGAUGAUGAUUGGAUAACAUUUCAGCCUUAUGAGAACCUCAGCAGAGAAUCUACGUAAGCCUGCCUGGACUUCUGACCUACAGAACUAAGCUGCUUACUUAAUUUCCUACUGACUCAAAAAAUUGAAUUUUUGUAAUUUAUUACUUCACCAGUCUUCCUGUACUCCAGCCAUAUAAAUGAUUCUUUGUUGCAUUCUUCCAGGCCACCAAUACAAAUGAUUUGACAACCUUUCUGGAUUCAUUGUAUCAAAUUUUCCAGCAUUUUAUCUCUCUAUAUUCUAUCAUACCUUCUUUA